GAUCAUGGCUCAGGAUGAACGCUAGCGACAGGCUUAACACAUGCAAGUCGAGGGGCAGCACGGUGUAGCAAUACACUGGUGGCGACCGGCGCACGGGUGAGUAACACGUGUGCAACCAACCCCGUACCGGGAGAUAACCCGCGGAAACGUGGACUAACAUCCCAUGAGACUCGAGAGCCGCAUGGCUCUAGAUUUAAAAUUCCGGUGGUACGGGACGGGCACGCGCGACAUUAGGUAGUUGGCGGGGUAACGG
rnacentral:rRNA from 1 species